UAUUUACAUGUCUGAAAAAAAUGUUUUCUUCGUUCGUUCCUAUAGGUUUUUUAGAGUUCUGGGCCCAUAACCUGUUGGUUUUUGUGGUUUAUUUAUUAAAGAAACAAAUAACAAUAUAUAUAAUCAUUAAACAAACUAUCAACUAAUCAGGACAAAAAUAGAGUGGCUUGUUACAUCUUCUUGCUUAAUAUUACCACUACUAAUAAUACAGAAAACAGUGUUGCCACCGUUAAAGACCAGACAGGUUUGUAGUUGUAUAUUGGGUUACAUACA